rnacentral:misc_RNA from 1 species
AUGACUUCGAGCCCUUGCAGC